rnacentral:lncRNA from 1 species
AUGAUUGUGUGUUUUCUCUCAGCUAGGAUGAUGGCUCAGUUCAAGGAUGAUUGGAGGAGAGAACAGUUCCAGAAUGGUGAGUCUGUGCUGGUCCAACAGAGGCCCUGCUCAUUGUGGGGGAGUGUCAGGGGAGGACGGGUGCAGGGGAGCUUCGCAAAAGGGAGACCCUCUGGCCCAAGCCUACUGACCUUUCCCAGAAACGUGAUGACCACUUUUCUUUGCACUAACUCUGACUCUGGAUGCAGCCAGAUAUGAUGGCAAGUCCCAUUGAUAGUUUUCACAUCAUUGUAUUUUUGGCAUGCUCCAUCUGUUUCUUUACCACGUGUCUUUGAUGCUCAGUGAUCAACUUUCUCAACACCAACCUACACAUAUAAACUUAUGUGUAAACGCCCCCUACAUGUAUACCGUGACAUCUUAAGGUUUUCAUUUCGUUGUUAUUUCAACUGACAUUUAUCAUCCUCGCAUGUUAUUCCUUGGAUUUUUCGUAUCCUUGCUUCUCAAGCAGAAAAUUCCUUUUCACCAAAUAUAGCCUAAUAAUAAUUAACUUGUAAAAUUUUGCUGAUUUCAAGUUUCUUUGUCCAAAAUAUUUUCUGUCAUUUGACUGAGAAGCCCAUUCACUGCGAAUUAAUUUUAUGUCUUUUCCUUUCAUCUGACGUUGUGAAAGUAAACGUCAUCGAGGUAACGUUAAUGAUCAAACUCCCAUAAGAUACAGUUACGCAGUAGUCGGCGGACAGAAUGCUGUGACCAGAGGCCCCGUCACCCUGACCUGACCUGACCUGACCUGCGUGUCCUGUAAAAGCGCUAGUUCAGGAUUCUUUAAUUCAGGGUCUCGUGGCUUUAUCGAGCAAAGCCACCACGGUAGGGACAUUGAGGCUAUUUACUAAGCACAAGUCACACAACUUAUACCCAUAGAAACGUGAGGAAGGACAGACCAAAUAUUUUCAAAAGGAAUCAUGAACAGAUUUAUCAGGUUCAUUACCAGCAAUAAAGUUCUCCUUUUCUCAAUUGAAAACA